AGGACUUUAGUGGAGAUGAGCUGUCACUCGCUAUUAAAAGUUCAAAGUCAAAUUUGCAGUCCACUUCUGGCAAGGAAGACAGAGCUGCGUGGCCUCUAACAUUUUGUGGGCCAUUGCAAAGCUCGCAUUCUCCGUGCCUGUGGAGCUUCAUGGUGCAAACAGCCAUGAUCAGGCCUGUCCGGGUGGUCCAGGCUCGCCAAAUUCUAGUCCAGCACCCCUUGGAGACACAGGCGUCCUCCCCACAUCUAGAGACUUUUGAAACUAAGACAGCAAACCAGGGAAUUGAAAACAUUAGCUCUGAAGUCACGCUGCUUGGGCUCAAGGGCCAGAUCUGUUCAUAAUCAUUGGUGCACCUGGGCAGAUUUCUUAAUGUGCCUGUGCCUCAGUUUCCUCAUGUGUAAAACGGGGUGGUAGUAGUUCCUCCUUCACGAGAUUGUGGUAAAGUUUCCUGCUAAACGCCCAGCAUGUGAUAAGGACUCCACAAAUGCUUUGUUGUUAUUAUUUGAAAGAAUUGGUAAAACAGGAUCCCAAAAUUGUGGUAUAUUUUCAUGUUUAC